AAGCCACCGUCAAAGAGAAACGACCGGAAUUAAGAAGCUCUACAACUCAUUCUUCGUUCUCUUCUAAGUGUUUAAGAACUGUCCAAGAAUCAUUCAUUUCAUCAUUCAUAUAGUGACAUUUGUUUAAGUGUGAUGGCGUGGUAAUGGCAUUUCAUGAAGAGCUGCAGGACUUGACUAUUAUGCAUGAGGGGAGGAAAGACGAUCCGUUUACCUGGGAGUCUAGUGUCAGGCUGACAAUGAUGGGCAGGGACGAGGAGCUGUAUAUGGAGGAGCGGGAGGGCCGGAAGCGGAAGUGGCAGGAGGGGGGCAAGAUGAUGCGGGAAGACGAGGAGAAAGUCCAGAGGAAGGUGCCGCCGAAAAAGGUUAUGGCGGCUCUGGGAGACAUGGGCGGCAGCGGCACCAGCUCAUCAUCGUCCCACAUGUCGCCGGGCUGGCAGGUCAACGACCUCGACCUGGAUUUACCUGGCGAGCUAUCCAUGAAUGAGGCGCUGCUAUCGUUGCCGUCCCUGGCGGUGUUCAAACAGGAGGCGCCGUCACCCACAGGCGCCGUGCUGUCUCCGCCACGCCGGUACACGCGCCGCCCCGAUGAUAGACAGAUCACCAGCAUGGUGGUGGACGGUCGUGACGGUAUGGACGACGGCUGCCAGUCCUCGCCGCAUGCUAACAUCAUGGCUCAGCAUGGCAACCCAGAGAGUAUGCAGUGCCAGCCGAGCCUGCCGCCCGGCGCGUUGGUGCCCGUCUCAGGGUACCAUUCUCCGGGAAACCACGAGACCAAGAAUGCCGGGCUGCUGAUGUGCUCUCCAGUCAGCUCCCUGGAUGGGUUCCUGCACUCGCCGGUGCCUCAACGCAUCGAACCUAGCUUCAAGGAUGACACCAGGUUCCAAUACGUGCUAGCGGCAGCGACAUCUAUCGCGACCAAACAGAACGAAGAGACCCUCACGUAUCUGAACCAGGGACAGCCGUACGAGAUCAAACUGAAGAAGCUGGGGGACCUGUCACACUACAAGGGCAAAAUACUCAAGAGCGUGAUCAAGAUUUGCUUCCACGAGCGUCGCUUGCAGUACAUGGAGCGUGAGCAGAUUGCGCAGUGGCACGCCGAGCGGCCCAGCGAGCGGAUACUAGAGGUGGAUGUGCCGCUGUCCUACGGGGUGAUCCGCGUCGAGCAGCCAUCUUGCCUCAACGCUCUGCACGUGUUCUGGGACCCCACCAAGGACGUCGGCGUGUACAUCAAGGUUAACUGCAUCUCGACGGAGUUCACAGCGAAGAAGCAUGGCGGCGAGAAAGGGGUCCCCUUCCGCAUCCAGGUGGAGACAUACCUCGCCAGCGACGACCACAACCGACUGCACGCCGCCGCCUGCCAGAUCAAGGUGUUCAAGCUAAAAGGCGCAGACAGGAAGCACAAGCAAGACAGAGAGAAGGUGAUGAGGCGGCCUCGCUCGGACUUGGAGAAAUACCAGCCGGGGUGCGAGGCGACCGUACUCACCACGCUAUCUAACGAUGCGCUGCUGCCGCCACCAUCGCUGGUAACCACCUCACCACCAUACUCGCCAGACCUGUGCUGGAACUGGGACCAAUCGGCUACGAUGUGGCAAGGGUCCGCAGAUGUCGAAGAGAAAAAUAAUUUGGCGCCAAAGUCGGUUGGAAGCCCCAGCGCUGUUAAUAAACCUGUUUUGAAUCAACCUGCCUUACUCGCCUCCUCGAGCCAGAUGAAGCCGUAUUACUGCACUGAUGGUGGUGAGAUGAAGGUGACGACUCCGCCGUGCCACUCCCCCGGUGCCAUCCUGCCCGACCUGCCGCAGGCAGCCGAGGACCCUGACCAGCACUGCGGCCUGUCGAAGGACGCGUCUGCAGCGGACACGCAGCAGUGGCUCAGCAGGAACCGGUUCGCGCAGCAUGCGGUCACCUUCACCAACUUCUGUGGCGCUGACUUGCUCAGGCUGUCUCGCGAUGACAUCAUCCAGAUUUGUGGACUCGCCGACGGCAUCCGCCUAUUCAACGCACUGCACGCUAAACGCAUCGCGCCGCGCCUCACGCUGUACGUGUGCGCACACGCAGGCGGCGUGUACAGCGCGCUGUACCUGCACGCCUGCCGGGCGGCGGAGCUGGCGCACAAGCUGCGGGCGCUGCUGCCCGAGCCCGCCAAGGAGUGCGAGACGGUGCUGGUGUGCGGGCCGCACGGGUCCCGCGUGCGUCUGUCGGACGAGCUGGUGCGCCACCUGCCCGACCACGGCACCUUCCGCCUGCACAGCCUGGACCCGCACACGCUGCUACUGGCGCCCACCGCGCCCACGCCGCCCGCCGCGCCCGCCCACAACGGGUCAAUGUAAAAUUUUUGAAUUCACGUCAUUUAUUUAUUUAUUUGGUCAACCAACGGCAAGUACACUGGUACAUGGUUACAGUUUGCAGUUAAUACAUAUAAAAAACUAAGCGCCUCGCCACUUACAGGUGGACACAACGUGCACUAAUACUUUAGGUACUUAAUUACAAAAUUAAAUUAGAGCUAGAAAAAGUAACAACUUACAAUGAUUAAAAAGUAUCUGUUAUAGAUAAAACAGUCUUUUUGAUUCGAGGAACAGAUGUGAAGAAGAUAUCUAUUUUAUCUGCAUACAAUUCGUAAGGUUUCAUUUCCCAAGGUGUUAAGGCUGAGGAGAAGAAAUGACAAGAAACUGCAACAGCAACACAUCUUUUAAAUCAAUGAGGGAUGUCGGUAGAAGCGCUGGUUCCAACUUGCAGCAAUGAGUCCAACUUGCACCAAUGAGUCCAACUUGCACCAAUAAGUCCAACUUGCACCAAUGAGUUAUUAUCUCAAGUGCAGUUUAUUUCGGUUACACCACCUAUCACGUUGUGCUAACAGAAAGCUCGGUGAGGUGUGGUUAUAUUAUGUUUCCUCUUUAGUAAUACUCAAAUGUUAGAAUUAGAAUGUAUCUCGAAGUAUGUGCAUAACUUUGAUGAGGGUAGAAGCGAAAGUGGUGUUUCAGGAUCACCGUAAGUGGAAUUCCGUGGUGUCCACCCCGACGGGAAAUAGGCGUGAUGUAGUGUAUAUGUAUGUUAAUCUUAGUACCUAUGCUCUCGGAUUUGACAUAAACAGCCUAUAUACGUCCCACUGCUGGGCACAGACCUCCACGCCGCUACACAAGUGGGUGGGUAACUUUAAAAAAAGGAGUCAAUUUGGAAAAACUCGCCUCUUAAAUUGAUCCCGGGACCUCUUAGUCAGUGGCCUGUGUAGCCACUACUCAGUCGUGCAUAAAGGUAAUUAUUAGUAGUUAUGUUCAAAUGCUCGCCGGAGCUCGGUGGCGCAGCGGUAAACGCGCUCGGUAUGCGAUUGUUGAAGUUAAGCAACUUUCGCAAAGGCCGGUCAUAGGAUGGGUGACCACAAAAAAGAAACAAAAAAGUUUUUAUCUCGAGCUUCUCCGUGCUUCGGAAGGCACGUUAAGCCGUUGGUCUCGGCUGCAUUGGCAGUCGUUAAUAACCACCAAUCCGCACUGGGCCCGCGUGAUGGUUUAAGGCCCGAUCUCCCUAUCCAUCCAUAGGGAAGGCCCGUGUCUCAGCAGUGGGGACGUUAAUGGGCUGAUGAUGAUGAUGAUGAUGUUCAAACGCCAUGUUGAAUUAAGUUAGUACUAACUAUCGCCUCAUGAAACUAAUACAAAGAGUAGUUAUAAUUGUUUAAAUAAUAAUUAGAGUAUAAUUUUGAUUUGUAUUCCUUAUUUAAGCGUAUUUUGUUAAGCGUCGAUUUAGAACGACCAUUUUGUGUUUAAAUUUCAAAAAGAGAAAUCCGCCAUUUUGAAUACAGCAGGUGAACUGUCAAAAGCUUCGCAGUUCGCCCGCUAGGCGGUGUUUUACGCGUUAAUAUGGCGCCACUGUUGUACAUACUAAAAUAUAACUGCUGUGUUAAUUGUAAUCUUCAAUGUUGUCAAUGAACGCAGUUGAUUGUCGACCGUAACAGACGGCGAAACGGUUCACAGCAGUUGAAUGACCUAAUACUAGGUUUGAUAAAGUCGGUCAUUGACCUAACUUUGUUUGUAAAGGAAAAAAAGGUAUAUUUAAUAUUUAAUUUAACCCAUGGUAUAAGAAAACCGGGUAUACUCAAAAGUGACAGCUAACAUUUCAAGGUUAGCCCAGCUGACGUCAUCCGACCCUGCGUUGCCAUUUCGUAAAAAAUAAAUUACCCACGUCCAAUGUUUUUAAUUUACUUUGCAAGGAAAUUUUGAACUUUUAGUAAAAUAUUUUCUUACAGUUUUAAUGAUGUUUAUGUAUGUGACAAGUAAUAGUAAUUAAAUACAUUAGUCAGUAAUUGGAUAUUUGACUGGGUCAAAGAUAAAUCAUAAAAUGCUAAUAUAGAAAUAGAAGCCAAUCUAAGAUGAUCAAAAAUCAAUCUCAUUUUACUUUUCGACUUAUUCGAAUUAUGUAACAAUGAGUACGACGUUUGACCGCUUUUAUUGAUGACGUCACAGGACAGUAUUUCCAUACAAACUCCAAAGGAAACUUUCGUUUUGACGUUUCGUAAAAAGUAUCUCAUUUGACUAGGUUGUCAAGUAGCCUAUUCACUUAUUUUUCAAUAAUAAAAUUUACGUCCUUGGAAUGUUGGAGAUACCAAUUUAGUGGUAACACUUACGUCAUCAAAGGGCUAGCAAUUGGCUUUUCAUAGGAUUGAGCAUACCUGGUUUUCUUGUACCAUGAUUUAACCUGUGCAGCUAUUUAUUAGCUUUAAUGUUAAUUUUGAUUGUUGUAUCAAUAAUUGUUAUUUGUUUAUAGAACAUGUAACGCCCCAGGCGAUGAAUGUUAUUUUUUUUAUCAAGUUAUUGGUGCUAAUUCCUGUAAAUACCAUCUAAUUUUAUUUUAAGUUAUAUCUGUCAUUUUCUUAUCCGCCGAAAAGGAAAGGGACGGGUAAUCGACAAGCGUAAAAUUUAUGGAACACACGUCAAUUUUAAGCACAAAUCUAAAACAACCGUCUAAAAAUUUUACAUCAGUCAAUAACCCGACACAGUUGGUAGACAGCAUGUCAAACGGAUUGCAUACCAGUGACGUACCUUUUUGAUUCGCUCGGGUUAUUCAUUAAUUUACUCAUUCUUCCUAAAAUUAAGAGCUGUGAAUCAUCCGUCCCUUUCCUUUUCGACGGAUAUGAAACUGACGGAUAUAACUUAAAAUAAAAUUAGGCGGUGUCUGCAGGAAUCGGGGCCAUUGUCAAGAAACAGGAUGCGCCAGGAGUGUCCUAGCAUUCUUGUCCACUGUUGUGUCGACUCCACCUUGAGCGCAAUAAGGGCAUGAGGGUGAUGAGUUUAUUAUGUUCGUAAUAAAUAAAUCUUGUUUAUAAUCUUGUUGGUAAAAGUAAGAUGGUAUUUUGUGAAUAGAUUAUGGAUAGUAUAUAGUUAUUGUGCAAUGAUGAAAAGUUUGAAGGGAAUUGGCUAUUUGACAGUUGAACUGUUUAUGUGUACAAAAAUCUUUAAUAAACUGCCAGAAAGUAUCAGAGGCCUGCCUGUAAGAGUGUUUAGACGAUCUUUGUUUAAGCUACUGAGCGAGAAUCCUUUUUAUAGUGUCAGUGAAUUUCUUGAUCACAAAAUGUAAUAAUUAAUCUCUCUGUAUUUGCAUACCAAUAUUGUUUUGGUUAAAUGUGUGAAACUUUAAUUUAGUCAUAUAUAACAACCAAUGUACCACAUUUACCGCAAAUAAAUGAUUUGAUUUGAAAAUAUGAAAUAUGUCCGAAAUAGUAGUUUCUCAUUUAACGAUAAUCAUCCAAUAGUUUAACUUUAUUAAGAUCAUUUUUAAAAAUUUGAUUUUUACAAAAUAAGAACGCGGUUAUUUGGCGGCCAUGAUUGAGUUUGGUGACGUCACACAUACAUACAUAAACUCACGCCUAUUUCCCACCGGGGUAAGCAGAGACUAUAGAAUUCCAUUUGCUUCGAUCCUGACACACUUCUCUUGCUUCCUCCACAUUCAUCAUUCACUUCAUACACGCACGCCGGUUCAGAGUAGAUCGUAUUGAACCUUUACAAAAUAAACAAACUAUCUGUCAGGUUUCAAGUUAUACUGUUUGACAGUUUUUUUUUUCAUUGAAAUGUGACGUCACUGGGCGAAAUGUCACGUGACCAAACGUUUUCGCGCGAAAUUUUAAAAUGAAGAAUACGUUGAUUUCUAUUAUAUUAAGCUUUUUCGAAAAAUAAAACAAAAAAAAAUCGAAACAUUUCAUUUAUCACAUCACCAUCAUCCAACACCCCAUCAUCAACAUUCCACCAUUCCAUUUAAUUAUUAAUUUACAGGUUUUAUUUCAUUUUCUUUUCAUUUUAGAAAUAUUUUAAGAGGCAUAGAAUAAGCGUUUUACAAUACUUAUCUGAAAACUGUCAAAUAGCCAAUUGUCGUAAAAUUAAUUUCUAUCAAUUAUUUGUCUUAGUGUUGAACUCGUUAGUGGAGUCAAUGAAGGAGUUCACUUCUAACUUGCCAGGGACAGGUUCGAUUUUGAUGAUUUUUUCUUUUGUAUUGGGGUGAAUAUCAAAAUUUCAAGUUUGAUGGCGAAAUUUCAUAUUAUUUUUUCGUGAAAAAUUGGGUUCCGACGUGAAAAAGAUCCAAAAGGAUCCUCGGUUCCGACAUGAAAAAGGAAUUUUUCAAUUCCCAAUUUUUCACGAAAAAAUUAUAUGACAGUCGCCACCAAACGACACAUUUUGAUAUUCACCCAUUGGCAGUUUUUCAUAUCAUUGAAAAUUAGAAACAUCUUUGGCAAAUUAGAUGUUAAAAAAGUGAUCCUUCAAUGAUUCCGUUUUACCUUUAGUGGUUCGGAACCCUAAAAAAAGAUUAUUUAGCCGUGGUAGCCCAGUUGGUAGAACACUUGAUUCUCACUGUAAGGUCGCAGGUUCGAAUCCAGCACGGGCCUAAACCUAUGAUUUUCGAAAUCUUUUCGAAUUCAUGUUUGGAUCAUAAAUGAUUAUCACGUGCUCAGCGGUGAAGGAAAACGUCGUCAGAAAACCCACAUACCCGAGAAAUGCAUUUCGGAGAUAUGUGAACUGACCUGAAUUGGGCUGGUUUUUCCUUUGUGGGUUGGAAGGUCAGACAGGCAGUCGCUUCUGUGAAAAACUGGACCCUGUGAGAAACAGGAUAACGUUGAAGAUGAUGAGUUUAACGCAGGUGCCUUAAGAGUGCCUCACGCACGCCCCACGCGUUGCUGUACGGAGUAUUAAAAAAAAAUGUUAUAUUUUAUAUAAGAUUUUAUACCAUAUUAUUAUAUUGCAGGUAGUUACUGCAUGCCGUAGCUAGAUGGUAGUUAAGGUAAAUGUAUGGAUUGUAUUUGUAAAUAAAUAUAUAUGUUAGUUAAA
rnacentral:misc_RNA from 1 species